rnacentral:rRNA from 1 species
UGGGGAAUUUUGGACAAUGGGCGCAAGCCUGAUCCAGCCAUGCCGCGUGCGGGAAGAAGGCCUUCGGGUUGUAAACCGCUUUUGUCAGGGAAGAAAUCUUCUGAGUUAAUACCUCGGGAGGAUGACGGUACCUGAAGAAUAAGCACCGGCUAACUACGUGCCAGCAGCCGCGGUAAUACGUAGGGUGCAAGCGUUAAUCGGAAUUACUGGGCGUAAAGCGUGCGCAGGCGGUUUUGUAAGACAGAGGUGAAAUCCCCGGGCUCAACCUGGGAACUGCCUUUGUGACUGCAAGGCUUGAGUGCGGCAGAGGGGGAUGGAAUUCCGCGUGUAGCAGUGAAAUGCGUAGAUAUGCGGAGGAACACCGAUGGCGAAGGCAAUCCCCUGGGCCUGCACUGACGCUCAUGCACGAAAGCGUGGGGAGCAAACAGGAUUAGAUAGCCCUGGUAGUCC